GUCGCCUGCAAUGUCAUAAUGUCUGUACAGUAUGUCAUUUUAUACUACAUCAUCGGGCCCACCUGUCGGGGACCCAAUGGCCAUGUACGCGCCUCCCUUGAGAUAUAAAAGGGAGGCGCUCGCUAAACAGAGGCUCGGACUCACUCUGGACUCAGCACCAGACAUGCCAAGACUCUCAACCUCUUGAGAGCGCAAGCAAUACAACACACAGUGGACGUAGGGUAUUACACUCCGGCGGUCCGAACCACUCUAAACCUGUUGCGUUCAUCGUUUUCUUCCACCGAGAUCGAACUAACCCUAGCUAACCCCCGAGUACUCACCCUCUGGGUUUAGGCGGGUGUACUACGCCACCCGGCUGUGGGUUUGCACACCACGACAGAUUCUUUACAGUUCUCAAACGUCACAUGGCACCUUUGCAUCAGUGCCAUCAAAUGUUCUGAAAAAUGUGUGUAUCUAUAGGAGUAAAUUCACCAGUCCUGACUCAUGUGCUAAAAUGUUCUGAAAAAUAUGAUUAUCUACAUAGAUGCUACCUUUAGUACUAUUGUACAUAAUUGUGCCUGUGUAUUUGAAUUCUAUUAUAAUAAUAAAUAAUGACCCAGCAGAUUCAAUGUAUAUGUAUGCAUGUUUGGACCUCCACAAAAAGUUCAUACUGCUGCAACUUAAAACAGUUAUGACGCAUAAAUACUCUUAAUCUUUGUUUAUCUCAUUAAAAAUAAAAUGAGGGCGCGCCAAGACGCGCGCAAAGUACUCGUAGCUCAUAUAGCUAGUAGUUUUUUCUCUCGCUGUGACCGUGAAGUUGUGGAUGCAUGGCCCGACUGGAAGGGAGAUCUUGUUGGUUAUGUGUAGUCCGUCGGAUGAACAGAGUCAUGGUGGACAUCCACCGUGGGCCAUUGCAAGCUAAGUGUGGUUGUUGUAAUGCAGCAGGAGCAAUGCAUUUUUAUUUGUUUUUUUUAAUACAAAAAGGAGAACAAGACAUUGAUCCCAUCCCAAAUUGGUCUUGCUUUAAUUUAAUACCCCCACAAACUUUCAGCACUAGAUUAGUUUAAUCAUAUAUUAUUUGUUAAAGGAAUUCACUCAUAUAUUAUUGGCCACGACGGCCGUAGUAGGGCGCCGCCACCGGGCUGCACUGCGGCUGCCGCAGGAACUCGUCGCAGGGGUGCAGCGCGGCGGCGGCGCCGUACGUGCCCUGCUGCGGCCACUCCCAGCCGAUCUGCUGCGCGGAGGAUGAGGCGGCGGCGGCGAGAGCAAGGACGCCGUACGUGCCAUGCUGCUUGCUCUGGGACGAUGGAUCAGAUGAAGAUCACGAUUGCUUUGCAAAUGUGGGGGCAGUUUAUGGCCGGACCGCCGGACACCGGCGGUGAUCGAUCCACCCAUGGCUUCCAUUCUCCAGCAUUUGCUUUAUUCAUUUAUUGGAUUCUACAACAGAUGAUUUUUGAACGUUGCAUUGCAUUACGUGGAGAUGGGAUUUGGAUAUCCACAUCAUCCAGGUUCCUUUACAACAGAAUAUUGGCGCUCCAUGAACCUUCAAUUGAAGUGCGAAACGUACAAGGCUACAAGGUAACAAUCGUGAACAAAAGCCUUCCCCCAGACAGGGCAAGGAAAGCUAGCACAUUUAUUUUAGCCGAAAAGCAACAGUAUGCCUCAGAUUUGUGACCUUGGCUUUAACUCAAAAUAAUCUCUAUAACUAGUGGGAGAUAA